CUACAUUUCGACUUAACCUAAUUUGCAGGUGGAGUCCCGAUGAGUUUGAACUAUACAUCGAUGGACCUGAUGAAUCAGAUGUUGAAUGCUCAUAGUACCUCUCUUCAUGAAGCAAUCCCUCUAAAAAAAGUUUGAACAUUACGAGAUAUGACGCAAAUGUGAUUUUGCAGCUACAGUGUUGUAGCGAUUAUUGGUUAAUGUAUUUUAAGAUGAGUUGAUUUUUGGGAAUGUUAGAAAUUCUGUGAACUAGGCUGAGUGGUUAACUGGGAAGUGGUGUUUAGCUGUUUUUUGUAACUUGAUGAAAAAAAUCAAAAGUACUUUGAUGCAGUUUUGAUAG
rnacentral:lncRNA from 1 species